AUUGAACGCUGGCGGCGUGCCUAACACAUGCAAGUCGAGCGGUAACAGGUGUAGCAAUACAUGCUGACGAGCGGCGGACGGGUGAGUAACGCUUGGGAAUCUGCCUAUUAGUGGGGGACAACCCGGGGAAACGUCGGGCUAAUACCGCAUACGCACUACGGUGGAAAGCCGGGGACCGCAAGGCCUGGCGCUAACAGAUGAGCCCAAGUCGGACUAGCUAGUUGGUAGGUAACGGCCACCAAGGCGACGAUCCGUAACUGUCUGAGAGGACGACCAGUCACACCGGAACUGAGACACGGUCCGGACUCCUACGGGAGGGCAGCAGUGGGGAAUAUUGGACAAUGGGCGAAAGACCUGAUCCAGCGACGCCGCGUGGGUGAAGAAGGCCUGCGGGUUGUAAAGCCCUUU
rnacentral:rRNA from 1 species